CGGGAGAGCCGGCGGACAUUCCGCUCGCCAACCCGGUCAGGUCCGAAAGGAAGCAGCCGUAACGAGUUUGGCAUGGGUCGCAUUGGCCCUCCCACCC
rfam:Kordiimonas lacus strain CGMCC 1.9109 genome assembly, contig: Ga0070197_103